UUAACAUUCCAGGCUUGUGCUUUUAGAGGGCAUGAUGAAUCUCCGGGAUCCAUUAACCGGGGUAAUUUCCUAGAACUGGUAAAACUUUUGGCUUCUUAUAACAAGGAGGUGAAAGAUGUUGUCUUGGAAAAUGCUCCUGGAAACGCAAAGUACACAUCUCAUCAGGUUCAAGAGGAAAUUCUUGCUAUACUUUCUCGAAAGGUGCAAAGAACAAUUAGAGAAGAAAUUGGUGAUAGCAAAUUUUGUAUAAUGGUUGACGAAGCUCGCGAUGAAUCCAAGAAAGAGCAAAUGGCGUUGGUCCUCCGGUUUCCUGACACUGAAGGGUUCAUACAGGAGCGUUUUGUUGAUGUCAUUCAUGUGAAUGACACUCUUGCAUUGACUCUCAAGGAGACAAUUUGCACUGUUCUAGCAGAUAACAAUUUAAAUGUGGAAGAUAUCAGAGGUCAGGCCUAUGACGGGGCUAGUAAUAUGCGAGGGGAGUGGAACGGAUUGAAGGCUUUAAUUCUGAAGGCGUGCCCUUAUGCAUAUUACAUUCAUUGUAUGGCGCAUCAGCUUCAAUUGGCCCUUGUUGCAGCAUCACGAGAGGUACAUGAAGUGCAUAAUUUUUUUCAACAUGCCAAUUUUGUCAUAAAUGUUGUUAGUGCUUCACCUAAACGCAAUGAUGAGUUACUAGCAAAUCAAGCCACCGAAAUUGCACGUGAAAUUGAACUGGGGGAUCUUGAUACAGGAAAAGGGGCAAACCAGAUAGGUUCUUUACAGAGACCAGCAGACACUAGAUGGAGUUCGCACUUCAAGUCAAUUCGGAGCUUGAGGAAGAUGUUUGGUGCCACAAUUACAGUCCUACGAAGUAUAGCGAAUGAUCGUUCGGUGACACAAUAUUCCCGUGGAGAUGCUGGAGGCGCCCUAAGGAUAAUUGUUUCUUUUGAUUUUGUGUUCAUUUUGCACCUCAUGGAGAGGAUUAUGAAAAUCACAGAUGUCUUGUGCCAAACACUCCAGAAGAAAUCUAUGGACAUUUUGAAUGCAUUAGAUACACUCUCUAACACUAAGGUGCUCCUCGCUUAUCUAAGAGAGGAAGGAUGGGAACCUCUCAUAGAGGAGGUUAAGACCUUUUGUGUGAAGCAUGAAGUUGAGAUCCCCGACAUGAGUCGCAAGUAUGUUGAUGUGACUAAGUCUCGGAAUAAACAUAAUAACAUCACGGUGCUUCACCACUACAAAGCAGAUGUGUUCAAUGUGGCGAUAGAUCAACAACUGGUUGAGCUAAAUGACCGUUAUAGCGUUCAGACAACAGAGCUAAUGACACUCUGUGCAUCCUUGGAUCCAAGGCAUGACUCGUUUGACAUAUCAAAGAUUUGCAUGCUUGUGGACAAAUUCUAUCCAGCGGAUUUUUCUAGUCAAGAGCAGGCUCGCCUGGAGUCACAACUUCCACACUAUCAGUUAGAUGUUUGCAACCAUCCAGAGCUGAAUUCUUCGUCAUCACUGGCUGAUUUGACCGUUGCAUUGCAUAAAACAGGUAAAGCCUCUGUGUAUCCAAUGGUUGAUAGAUUAUUGCGCUUGGUCAUCACUCUCCCGGUGUCAACUGCAACUGCGGAGAGAGCUUUUUCAGCAAUGAAGAUUAUCAACACACGUCUCCGAAGUAAAAUGGGUGACAAUUUUCUUCGACCUUACAUGGUUGUAUACAUUGGGAAGGAAAUAGCUGCAAAGUUCAAUGUUAAUGAGAUUAUUGAUUUGUUUGAUCGACCGGCUGGGGGGCGUAGA
rnacentral:rRNA from 1 species